AGUCGAGGGGCAGCAUGGUCUUAGCUUGCUAAGGCCGAUGGCGACCGGCGCACGGGUGAGUAACACGUAUCCAACCUGCCGUCUACUCUUGGACAGCCUUCUGAAAGGAAGAUUAAUACAAGAUGGCAUCAUGAGUCCACAUGUUCACAUGAUUAAAGGUAUUCCGGUAGACGAUGGGGAUGCGUUCCAUUAGAUAGUAGGCGGGGUAACGGCCCACCUAGUCUUCGAUGGAUAGGGGUUCUGAGAGGAAGGUCCCCCACAUUGGAACUGAGACACGGUCCAAACUCCUACGGGAGGCAGCAGUGAGGAAUAUUGGUCAAUGGGCGCAGGCCUGAACCAGCCAAGUAGCGUGAAGGAUGACUGCCCUAUGGGUUGUAAACUUCUUUUAUAAAGGAAUAAAGUCGGGUAUGCAUACCCGUUUGCAUGUACUUUAUGAAUAAGGAUCGGCUAACUCCGUGCCAGCAGCCGCGGUAAUACGGAGGAUCCGAGCGUUAUCCGGAUUUAUUGGGUUUAAAGGGAGCGUAGAUGGAUGUUUAAGUCAGUUGUGAAAGUUUGCGGCUCAACCGUAAAAUUGCAGUUGAUACUGGAUAUCUUGAG
rnacentral:rRNA from 1 species